AGGUUGGCACUACUGAGACUGCAGAGCGGAAGAGACCACCAACACUGCCCACCCCAGCCCACAUUCCUGGCCUAAGAGGAAACUGUAUACGGCCUCUGGGUUCCCUUGGAUAAGGGCACAUCAGCAGCAGGUCCCCUGUGUCUGAGACACCGCCUGAACUAGAAGGGACCGACCAGAUAAGCAGUUCUCUGCACCCAAAUCCCGUGGGAGGGAGAGUGAACCUUCAGAGAAGCAGACACGCCUGGGAAACCAGAAGAGACUGCACUCUGCCCACAUUACUGAUUCCAGAGGAAAACACCAAUCGCCAUCUGGAACCCUGGUGCACUGAAGCUCCUGGAAAGGGCAGCACAGAACUUCCUGGUUGCUGCCCCAGCAGAGAGCUCUUAGGCAGCACCCCACGAGCAAACUUGAGCCUCCGGACCACAGGUAAGACAAACAUUCCUGCUCCAAGCGACCUGCCUAGUGAACUCAGGACACAGGCCCACAGGAAGAGUUGAAGACCUGUAGAUAGGAAAAACUACACGACCGAAAGCAGAACACUCUGUUCCCAUAACUGGCUAAGAGAAAACAGGAAAA
rnacentral:lncRNA from 1 species